rnacentral:rRNA from 2 species
ACUAAGCGUACACGGUGGAUGCCCUGGCAGUCAGAGGCGAUGAAGGACGUGCUAAUCUGCGAUAAGCGUCGGUGAGGUGAUAUGAACCGUUAUAACCGGCGAUUUCCGAAUGGGGAAACCCAGUGUGUUUCGACACACUAUCAUUAACUGAAUCCAUAGGUUAAUGAGGCGAACCGGGGGAACUGAAACAUCUAAGUACCCCGAGGAAAAGAAAUCAACCGAGAUUCCCCCAGUAGCGGCGAGCGAACGGGGAGGAGCCCAGAGCCUGAAUCAGUGUGUGUGUUAGUGGAAGCGUCUGGAAAGGCGUGCGAUACAGGGUGACAGCCCCGUACACAAAAAUGCACAUAUUGUGAGCUCGAUGAGUAGGGCGGGACACGUGGUAUCCUGUCUGAAUAUGGGGGGACCAUCCUCCAAGGCUAAAUACUCCUGACUGACCGAUAGUGAACCAGUACCGUGAGGGAAAGGCGAAAAGAACCCCGGCGAGGGGAGUGAAAAAGAACCUGAAACCGUGUACGUACAAGCAGUGGGAGCCUCUUAAUGGGGUGACUGCGUACCUUUUGUAUAAUGGGUCAGCGACUUAUAUUCUGUAGCAAGGUUAACCGAAUAGGGGAGCCGAAGGGAAACCGAGUCUUAACUGGGCGUUAAGUUGCAGGGUAUAGACCCGAAACCCGGUGAUCUAGCCAUGGGCAGGUUGAAGGUUGGGUAACACUAACUGGAGGACCGAACCGACUAAUGUUGAAAAAUUAGCGGAUGACUUGUGGCUGGGGGUGAAAGGCCAAUCAAACCGGGAGAUAGCUGGUUCUCCCCGAAAGCUAUUUAGGUAGCGCCUCGUGAAUUCAUCUCCGGGGGUAGAGCACUGUUUCGGCAAGGGGGUCAUCCCGACUUACCAACCCGAUGCAAACUGCGAAUACCGGAGAAUGUUAUCACGGGAGACACACGGCGGGUGCUAACGUCCGUCGUGAAGAGGGAAACAACCCAGACCGCCAGCUAAGGUCCCAAAGUCAUGGUUAAGUGGGAAACGAUGUGGGAAGGCCCAGACAGCCAGGAUGUUGGCUUAGAAGCAGCCAUCAUUUAAAGAAAGCGUAAUAGCUCACUGGUCGAGUCGGCCUGCGCGGAAGAUGUAACGGGGCUAAACCAUGCACCGAAGCUGCGGCAGCGACACUAUGUGUUGUUGGGUAGGGGAGCGUUCUGUAAGCCUGUGAAGGUGGCCUGUGAGGGUUGCUGGAGGUAUCAGAAGUGCGAAUGCUGACAUAAGUAACGAUAAAGCGGGUGAAAAGCCCGCUCGCCGGAAGACCAAGGGUUCCUGUCCAACGUUAAUCGGGGCAGGGUGAGUCGACCCCUAAGGCGAGGCCGAAAGGCGUAGUCGAUGGGAAACAGGUUAAUAUUCCUGUACUUGGUGUUACUGCGAAGGGGGGACGGAGAAGGCUAUGUUGGCCGGGCGACGGUUGUCCCGGUUUAAGCGUGUAGGCUGGUUUUCCAGGCAAAUCCGGAAAACCAAGGCUGAGGCGUGAUGACGAGGCACUACGGUGCUGAAGCGACAAAUGCCCUGCUUCCAGGAAAAGCCUCUAAGCAUCAGGUAACAUCAAAUCGUACCCCAAACCGACACAGGUGGUCAGGUAGAGAAUACCAAGGCGCUUGAGAGAACUCGGGUGAAGGAACUAGGCAAAAUGGUGCCGUAACUUCGGGAGAAGGCACGCUGAUAUGUAGGUGAAGCGACUUGCUCGUGGAGCUGAAAUCAGUCGAAGAUACCAGCUGGCUGCAACUGUUUAUUAAAAACACAGCACUGUGCAAACACGAAAGUGGACGUAUACGGUGUGACGCCUGCCCGGUGCCGGAAGGUUAAUUGAUGGGGUUAGCGGUAACGCGAAGCUCUUGAUCGAAGCCCCGGUAAACGGCGGCCGUAACUAUAACGGUCCUAAGGUAGCGAAAUUCCUUGUCGGGUAAGUUCCGACCUGCACGAAUGGCGUAAUGAUGGCCAGGCUGUCUCCACCCGAGACUCAGUGAAAUUGAACUCGCUGUGAAGAUGCAGUGUACCCGCGGCAAGACGGAAAGACCCCGUGAACCUUUACUAUAGCUUGACACUGAACAUUGAGCCUUGAUGUGUAGGAUAGGUGGGAGGCUUUGAAGUGUGGACGCCAGUCUGCAUGGAGCCGACCUUGAAAUACCACCCUUUAAUGUUUGAUGUUCUAACGUUGGCCCGUAAUCCGGGUUGCGGACAGUGUCUGGUGGGUAGUUUGACUGGGGCGGUCUCCUCCUAAAGAGUAACGGAGGAGCACGAAGGUUGGCUAAUCCUGGUCGGACAUCAGGAGGUUAGUGCAAUGGCAUAAGCCAGCUUGACUGCGAGCGUGACGGCGCGAGCAGGUGCGAAAGCAGGUCAUAGUGAUCCGGUGGUUCUGAAUGGAAGGGCCAUCGCUCAACGGAUAAAAGGUACUCCGGGGAUAACAGGCUGAUACCGCCCAAGAGUUCAUAUCGACGGCGGUGUUUGGCACCUCGAUGUCGGCUCAUCACAUCCUGGGGCUGAAGUAGGUCCCAAGGGUAUGGCUGUUCGCCAUUUAAAGUGGUACGCGAGCUGGGUUUAGAACGUCGUGAGACAGUUCGGUCCCUAUCUGCCGUGGGCGCUGGAGAACUGAGGGGGGCUGCUCCUAGUACGAGAGGACCGGAGUGGACGCAUCACUGGUGUUCGGGUUGUCAUGCCAAUGGCACUGCCCGGUAGCUAAAUGCGGAAGAGAUAAGUGCUGAAAGCAUCUAAGCACGAAACUUGCCCCGAGAUGAGUUCUCCCUGACUCCUUGAGAGUCCUGAAGGAACGUUGAAGACGACGACGUUGAUAGGCCGGGUGUGUAAGCGCAGCGAUGCGUUGAGCUAACCGGUACUAAUGAACCGUGAGGCUUAACC